rnacentral:rRNA from 1 species
GAUGAACGCUAGCUACAGGCUUAACACAUGCAAGUCGCGGGGCAGCAUGGGGGUUGCUUGCAAUCCCCGAUGGCGACCGGCGCACGGGUGAGUAACGCGUAUCCAACCUGCCCUUCACCACGGGAUAACCCGGCGAAAGUCGGACUAAUACCGUAUGUUGUCCAUUGACGGCAUCCGAUUUGGACGAAAGGUUUGGCGGUGAAGGAUCGGGAUGCGUCCGAUUAGCUGGACGGCGGGGUGACGGCCCACCGUGGCGACGAUCGGUAGGGGUUCUGAGAGGAAGGUCCCCCACACUGGAACUGAGACACGGUCCAGACUCCUACGGGAGGCAGCAGUGAGGAAUAUUGGUCAAUGGGCGUAAGCCUGAACCAGCCAAGUAGCGUGCAGGAUGACGGCCCUAUGGGUUGUAAACUGCUUUUAUGCGGGGAUAAAGUGGCCCACGUGUGGGUUUUUGCAGGUACCGCAUGAAUAAGGACCGGCUAAUUCCGUG